CUUAUGGGAUUCGUCCAACAUCACCUCACUGUAAGUUGUAGAGUUGUACACACUAAUUAGUAAUCCUGCUGCUCUUUGACCACACUCACUGUCCUUGCAUGCAUUAGCCCUGCUCUUGGCCCUUGUGAUAAAAAUGUCAUGCUAGCACAAAGCUGGGAAACAAUACCCUCCCAUAGGGUGGCCAUGCCAAUCGGAAGCCAGCGUUACCUCUCUGAAUCUUAAAGCAUGAAUGGGCUCUACUUCAGGUCUGAAUUGAACUGAGACCAUAAAAUCAAGUCGAGAAGCCUCCAUGGGUGUGUCAUUUAGUCUCACAUCUAGGAGCUUUCCAUUGGGUCUGCUGCCACAUUUACCUCUCUCUGGGUUUUGGGACAUUCUCACAUGGAAGGAGCCGAGAUCGUGGCAUAAUUGCCACCUGCUCCACUGGGGUACUCUGUCAACUUCUACAUCUACCCUCAAGUCUCCCGCUCUGGGUGAGAGCAGUGGUAGAGGCUUUUGCAGUGCUGAUCAUUAUCUCCAUCCCUGGGAAACAAGAAAACAGCACAAUAUCAAAAUCCUUUUGGCUAGAAGAUUUGCUGUCCCUAAGUCACAGAGGAAAACCACGUAGAGACAACUAGAAGCUCAGUAACCCCCAGCAAACCUAGCUAUGCACAUUUAGCAUGUCUGAGCAGCCUUAGGUUCCAAUUCUGGUACCUUGCUGUGUUUCUGUGAGCCUCAGUUUCAGCGUUCAUAAAAUGGGGAUAAUAAUACUUGUUUCUGUUUCACGGUGUGGUUAAAGGAGAUCAUUGAUGUACUAUGUUCUAUGUAUGUCUGCUGGACACGCUAAGGCAGAAUUUGAAAUAAAGACAUUGCUUCAGCUGAAGGCAGAUGUUAGGAAUAGAUUGGUAUUAAUCCCACACGUUGGCAACAAAGACAUUUCAACAUCCAAUACCGGUCCAACUGUGACUCACAAGUGAACUCAGAAUAAUAGCAACACCUGUGAACUCUCAGACUGGGAGUCAGAACCCUGCUGAAAGGAUUGGCUCCUGCAGCACAUGGCAACUCUGGUAAUGGUGACUUGAAGAAGUCGUAAUGUCCCAGCUCUUUAAAUUGUGUGUUUUUUUAAUUAAUAUCAUUUUUAAAAACUUCAUUAGCAGCUCAGAAUGUGAGAACUGAAGGAUCUUCCUUAUCCCUACCUCUCCUUUUAUAGAUGGGAAAACUAAGGACCCUCAAAAGCGACUGUACCUGGCUUCAAAGUGACAGAAGGAAUAGAUGAAAAAAAUGAGAUUCUAGCUUGAUCUCUUAUAUGAUGUCACUAUUCUUAUUUUAUAUGCUCAUUAG